rnacentral:rRNA from 1 species
AUUGAACGCUGGCGGCAUGCCUUACACAUGCAAGUCGAACGGUAACAGGUCUUCGGAUGCUGACGAGUGGCGAACGGGUGAGUAAUACAUCGGAACGUGCCCGAUCGUGGGGGAUAACGCAGCGAAAGCUGUGCUAAUACCGCAUACGAUCUACGGAUGAAAGCGGGGGAUCGCAAGACCUCGCGCGGACGGAGCGGCCGAUGGCAGAUUAGGUAGUUGGUGGGAUAAAAGCUUACCAAGCCGACGAUCUGUAGCUGGUCUGAGAGGACGACCAGCCACACUGGGACUGAGACACGGCCCAGACUCCUACGGGAGGCAGCAGUGGGGAAUUUUGGACAAUGGGGGAAACCCUGAUCCAGCCAUGCCGCGUGCAGGAUGAAGGCCUUCGGGUUGUAAACUGCUUUUGUACGGAACGAAAAGGUCUUUUCUAAUAAAGAAGGCUGAUGACGGUACCGUAAGAAUAAGCACCGGCUAACUACGUGCCAGCAGCCGCGGUAAUCUCG